AUAUUCUUAUAUAGUUAGAAAACCGAAUUAUAGCCAUAUUGGCAUUCUCACUAUAAAUGAAGUGUGAGAGAAAUCCAGAGACCUUUGAAAUGGAAAAGCCUGGGAGACUGCAAAGAUUCCACCAGCAGUAGAGGGGAUGGACUGAAAAGGUUUGGAACCUUGGAAAAGGGAACAACCCAGGAGUCAGUUGGUCAGCUCUCUCUUGACUUGAGACUUCUGGAGGAGAGGUCAAUCUAUAAUUGUAUCCUGAUCCAAGAAAUCUUUCCUUCCCUGAACCUGAUCACAAUCCUCCCAAACCAGAUGAAGGUAAUUUAAAAAAAGAAAAUUCAAAGCUGGAUGAGAGCCAGGGAAAUACUUAAAGUAUUGGUCACCCUGUCCUUGAUGAUAUUCUGGAAGUCAGAGAACCCAGUGAAGAUUCCCUAGCUAGGAAAAAUGAAGUCCAGAGAAACAUCUCCACCAAUUCCACAUACUGUUACUGUUGUUGUUUUUGAAGAGGUGCCUUGGCAGGAGUGGUGGCUCAGAACCUGUGAUUUUAUCUGGAUAGGGGACCAGUACUUUUGGUGUGAAAAUUCCCUCUACCAUUCUGUACUGUUGCUUCCCUGCUGGCUGCCUGGUCAGAGCCCCGAACUUCUGUGCUGGUACCAAGGCACUCUGUCACUGCUGCAGCCUUCACCCUGGAAUCCUAGUCAGCUGGAUUCUUACCACAGGUCUCAGUGCAGUAGAUGUGGAGGGACAUUGGAGACUGAGCUUUUCUGUCCUUUGCUGGCUUAUUAUCUAAAUUAUUGCUAGACUGUAUUAAGCUGAUCUGUAGUGGAUCCACUCUGAGGCCAAAACCUCCAGAGGCAGAGACUCAAGAUAUAGGAGUGGUGGCUGAACCAAGAUGCCCUCCUCCCUGUCCAUCUUCUCCAGCUGCCUCCCUUCCAUCUGUGUGUGGUCAGAGCCUUGAGCCUUGAAUAGCUGUGGUAGCAAGGCACUCCCUCCAGACUGGAGCCCUCACCCCAAGGUCAUAGCAUCUGGUAGAAUCUCAGCACAGUAGGUGGGGGAAAGGGUUUUGGGAUGCUCCUUUUUUAUUUUCCUUAAACCUGAGAAUUCAGCCUUUUCUGUGUACCUUGCAAGUUGAAUCAAGCAGGAACAUCCCUGAACUCUGUCCUGUUUUUGUAUUUUUUUUUUGUUUCCCACUCGAAACACUUUUUUUUUUUGAUUGGUGUGAAAGGGUUUUCCCAGAGAACAUGACAUCUUGACUCCCAAAAUGACUAUGAAGUAUUGUAAAUGAAAAAAAUACAUAAUUUAUAUUUGAUCUUGGAAAUAAUAAGGAGCCACUGGAGUUUAUUUAAAGGAGGGGAAGUGUGGACAUGAUUAGAAUUGUGUUUUUGAGCAAUCAAUUUGAAAUCCUAUGAGUUGAAGCUUUGAUAGUGUUAGGGGUAAAAUUAGGGUUGUUGGCUUAAUAUGUUAUUUUACUGGUCACUAGGGAUUUAAAUUCAAUCCCAAUAAAAUACUGAAGUCAGUUUGGCA
rnacentral:lncRNA from 1 species